AACGAACGCUGGCGGCAUGCCUAACACAUGCAAGUCGAACGAGACCUUCGGGUCUAGUGGCGCACGGGUGCGUAACGCGUGGGAACCUGCCCUUAGGUUCGGAAUAACUCCCCGAAAGGGGUGCUAAUACCGGAUAAUGUCUUCGGACCAAAGAUUUAUCGCCUUUGGAUGGGCCCGCGUUGGAUUAGCUAGUUGGUAGGGUAAAAGCCUACCAAGGCGACGAUCCAUAGCUGGUCUGAGAGGAUGAUCAGCCACACUGGGACUGAGACACGGACCAGACUCCUACGGGAGGGAGCAGUGGGGAAUAUUGGACAAUGGGGGAAAGCCUGAUCCAGCAAUGCCGCGUGAGUGAUGAAGGGCUUAGGGUUGUAAAGCUCUUUUACCCGGGAUGAGAAUGACAGUACCGGGAGAAUAAGCACCGGCUAACUCCGUG
rnacentral:rRNA from 1 species